ACCUCCGGGGGCAAGAGGUUCGACUCGAGCGAAGCGAGAGAACGUUGCGUCAGCAACGGCCCGCAGGGCGAGCCACGCAGUGGCGAGUCAUCCUCUAUCACCGACCA
rnacentral:sRNA from 2 species